UGCUGGUAUAGCUCAGUCAGGAGAGCAUGAGACUCUCAAUCUCAGGGUCAUGAGUUUGAGCCCUAACCUGGGCAA